GCCCGGUGAAGAAGCAAACUCACGCGCCACGCGUACACGGCACUUAGGAACUUCGGCUCGACAUACGCGCGCAGUGGCAAGCUCGAGCUUGCCCACCACCCACCCGCAAGCUUGGGCGCUCAAGACAAAGGGGGAGAGAAAAAAUAAAGAAAAACAGUUUUUAUAAGCGAGGCAAUUGAACAAGGAAAAACUUCCAAGGGGAUCGAAUGUGAACUUUUGGGUGCUGAAGCGGCUCAGUUCGAAGCCCAGACGAACUUCGAAGGAGUUAUGUUGAGGGAUUGAUAAUGGCGAACUUCCUUGCUUCAGACGAAUGUGAUAUGGACAUGGCCACGAGGAGAGGGGGAGUGGUAGAAUGGGGAGAGAGAGAGGGUGAAAUAAAAUAAGAGCUGGGUUGGAAGGGUCAUGGAUUGCUAGAGCUUAAAGAGAAAUAGAAGGGGGAUUGAGAGAGAGAGCAAGAGCGCAGGGAGUAGAGACGAAAUAAAGAUUAGGUAGAUGAGAGUGGGAGGCAGCCUGAGAUCGAUUGUAUAUUGGUGGUUUUUAUUGUUUCUUUUUUAAUGUUGUUCUUCUAUGGCAUUUUCCUUUUCAGUCUUCAGUCACAGCUUUGAGGGGCUCAAUUUUAGUGCGAGAAGCGAGAAAGAGCUUUGCAAAGUUCAUAUCAAUCUGAAACUUGGGGUUACUGUGUUCUUUAGAGAGAGAACAUAUGACUUCCGAUGAACCCAUUUGUGAGAAUUUAUUGUUUUUCAGAAGACAAGAAGUAAAACCCAUAAAGGAAAAUGUGGAUUUUGCAGAGAGGAUAUCUUUAAUUAUUCGGAAAUGUGGGUGGAAUUCAGUUUGUUCCGAUGUAUCAAGGUUUGAUAUGAGCCCUUGGAGUGUUUCUCGUCUUCUAAAUGAUGUGUUUGAAGGGAGUCGGGAUGCUCGAUUGUCUCUCUAUAUGUUUAGAUGGUUAGAGAGAAAAAAAUAACUGGGUCUGUAUGUACAUUGAUAAACAUUCUGGUCUCUGCAAAAUUUAACCAUAUAGCAACUGAAUUUUUAAUUUAUCUUGUUGGGUCAAGUGGGGGAGGACCUUGUGAAAUUUUUGAUGCCUACUCGAAGGGAUAGAAAAACUUCUACAACUGUGCUUAGCAUGGCAGUUCAUUGUUAUUUGCAGGAAAACAUGGUAGAUGAUACUUUCCAAAUGAAGCUUCUAGGCUUAUAUCCCACAACUCGAGUGUACAAUACUCUUAUCAGUAAGCUCUUGAAUUUGAAACAGUUUGAAUUAGCUUGGGAAGUGUUUAUGGACCUACAAAGCCAGGGGAUUGAGCCGAAGAUCAUUCUUUUUAGUCUAUUUAUCUAUGAAUUUUGUGGCAGAGGUGAUCUGGUAAGUGCUCAGAACUUACUUUUGACCAUGGAGAUUAAUGGGUGUAAGCCUGAUGUUGUAGCCUACACAAUGAUAAUUAAUGCUCUAUUAAAAAAUGGUAGCAUAAAAGAAGUUCAUUCUCUCUUAUAUAAAAUGAGUUUUAGGGGGAGUUUCUCCUGAUUUCCUUUCAUUAUCUGCAGUUAUAGAUGGAUAUUGCAAUGUGGGUAAGUUGUAGGAAGCCAUGAAUCUCUUAAAAAGUUAUGGUUACACCCCUGACAUAUUUGUAUAUAACAGUUUUGUCUCUAGGGUAUGCAAAGAUGGUGAUCUGGUACAGGCUAUAGAGUUCUUUAGAGAAAUGUGUGAUUUUGGUUUGCUUCCUGAUUGUGUUAGCUACACUUCCAUUAUUAGAGGUUAUUGUAGAAUAAGAAAUACCGUCCAAGCUCUUAGAUAUUUUUGUGAAAUGUUAAAGAAAAGACUGAAACCAUUUAUUGUUACUUAUACUGCUCUGAUUGAUGGCAAUUGCCACGCUGAGGAGAUUACAGAUGCAGAAUACAUAUUUUUAAGGAUGAGAGAGGAUGGUUUUCUCCCAGAUAUUGUCACAUAUAAUGCAUUAAUUGAUGGGCGCAGCAAAGAGGGGGAUUUUCAGAAGGCGUUUGAAUUGCUCGACUUCAUGCAUUCUGCAAAUAUAGAACCGGAUACUACAACCUAUAACAUGCUGAUAAAUGGGCUUAUCAAAAGAGGUUAUAAGAAAGAAUCAAGAGAACUAAAGGGGUUUCUCUCCUGACGAGUUCACAUAUACUACUAUCAUAGAUGGGUCUUCUAAAGAGGGAAAUUCAAUGAAGCCUUUCUUAUAUGGUGUCACAUGAGUGAAAAGGGAUUCAAGCCAGGUGUUAUUACUUGUAGGGCGCUCCUUAAUAGGCUUGCAAAGCAGGCCAUAUGGUGGAAGCAAGUGCUUUAUUUGGUAAAAUGAUCGAUGCUUGUUUGACUCCCGAUAGGAUAAUAUAUCAUACACUUAUACAUGGAUUCUGUAAGGACGGAAACAUGGAUGAAGUUUGUAGCUUGUUAAAUUUGAUGGAAGAGAAGUUUAUAAUGCCAGAUGAUGUUACUUUUAGAGUGUUCUCCUAUGGUUUAGAGAAAAUCAGGGUUGAGGAUGCUUUAGAAAAAGCAAGUAUGAGGACUCAACAUAUAUAUUGGAAAAAUUGAAUAUACCUGACAAAUUCGAUAACACGCGUUGUUCUGAAUGAAAAGAUUAAAACUUGAUUGAGCUGCCUCAAAUUGUCUUCCCAGUGAAACUUCACCUAGGUGGAAUGUGCUUCAUGAUUAGUGGAAAACCCCACAAGGUUAAAACUCGGCUUCUCUUAUAUGGAAGGCUCUUUGAAAAACGAUCUUUGGUAACCUGUGGUUCUGCACAUACUGUGAUGUGCAUGUGCAACAUUUCAGGUUUAAUCCGAGUGAUUUGGCCCAAUUCCUGAUCCGGAUUGCUGAUUUACCGAUCCAAAUCGAUUUUUGGGAUGUUCGAUCCGGAUCACCGAUCUAUUUUUUAAACCACCUGUGUAAACGCAUCAAAUAGGACGCCUCUUGCUUGAAGCUUCCAUGGCAGCCAUGACGAAGCCCAAACUCAAGACUAAAUUUAUGCGUUAUUUAUGCUGUUCAUCACUCGAAAAAGAUUCAACCAUGGCGCCUACCAAGCCAGACGAUUUAAUCGUAAGUUUAACGGAUCAUACUUUUCCUUUCUUUUCCUUUUUUCUUUGAAUCUUUUUUUAUUAACUUUUCUCUGCAGAGAAAGAAAAAGGCACUGUAUAUCCUUGCUUUGUUUUUAACAACUUUUCUCUGCAGAGAAAGAAAAAGGCACUAUGUAUCCUUGCGUUGUUUUUAACAGGUGCAAGAAAAGAUGGAUCCAAACCCCCUCCAUAUCGAAAAAGCGCCAAAUUCAUGUUUUUCUUCUGGUUCUAUCUCUAAUUCUUGGCGGAGAAGUUAUAAGGGUGAAUGGUCUUGGGAUAGGAAUCCGGAAUUUGAUAGGAUUCCCGAACUUGAGAGGGAAAAACAACAAAAAGGUUUCGUUGAUUCGUUGGAGGCUUAUUCUGAACAGGAAAGUUACCUGACUCGUGAUAGGACUCAGAAUUUUUUUUGUUGAUUCUUCGGAAGCCUAUUCUAACCAGGAAAGUUGAUAGGACUCCGAAAUCUGAUAAGAGUCCGGAAUUUGAUAGGAAAAAACAAGGUCUAGUCUGGAGAUUUUUGGGUGAGCAAUUUCAUGGCUGGAAUUUGCCGGUAUCAUCUGGAAAUUUAGUGGUAAAAAGGGCCUUCAUCUCUUUAGUCUUGUUCUGCGUUUCCCCUCUUUUUCUACCAAGGAGCUGAAAAUGUACCGGAGCUUUUUCUAUCAAGGCUCUGAAAAUCGACCACAGCUGAGCUGAGGAGUUCGAGGGGACUGAUCUUUGUAGGUUCUGCAUGGCGACAUUGAUGAGCUAAAAGUUUAACGUGAUAUUUGUGUUAAUUUUCUCUACUAUUUUGUUGGGGUGGACUAUAAUUCGCAUCAACAUUCUUCAUUCUUUACACUUUUGAAGUUUGUACUGUUCUAUUCUGGGUUGUUUAAGUUUAUACUUUUCUGGGGUCCUAUCAUUUUUUUAAUAUGAUCAUGAAAUUCAAUGUUAUUUGUGAGAGGUUUGGUCUUGAA